UACGGAGGGGCUAGCGUUGUCCGGAAUUAUUGGGCGUAAAGAGCUCGUAGGCGGUUUGUCGCGUCUGCUGUGAAAACCCGAGGCUCAACCUCGGGUCUGCAGUCGAUACGAGCAAACUAGAGUGUUGCAGGGGAGACUGGAAUUCCUGGUGUAGCGGUGAAAUGCGCAGAUAUCAGGAGGAACACCGGUGGCGAAGGCGGGUCUCUGGGCAACAACUGACGCUGAGGAGCGAAAGCGUGGGGAGCGAACAGG
rnacentral:rRNA from 1 species